rnacentral:misc_RNA from 1 species
AUUUAGCCCGGAUUGAGCGGCAUGUCUGAGCUCUUUCAAUUUUUCGGCGGGCAAAGCCCGCCGAAAAAUUGAAAAGCGAGUAGCGAAAGCCGGAAAAAGC